rnacentral:rRNA from 1 species
GACAGAGGGUGCAAACGUUGUUCGGAAUUACUGGGCGUAAAGCGCGUGUAGGCUGCUUGGCAAGUCGGAUGUGAAAGCCCUGGGCUCAACCCAGGAAGUGCACUCGAAACUUCCGAGCUCGAGUUCUGGAGAGGAUAGCGGAAUUCUCGGUGUAGAGGUGAAAUUCGUAGAUAUCGAGAGGAACACCGGUGGCGAAGGCGGCUAUCUGGACAGAAACUGACGCUGAGACGCGAAAGCGUGGGGAGCAAACAGG